AUAAGAUCAGAGCAUUUGGGCCCAGGGUGCUGUUACAUGAGGGGCUGCCUGUCUGAUAGGGCAGAUGCUAUAGCUGCCUCAUAAACCCUUUCUACUCCUUGGUGCUCCUGAAGGCUCCUGUUGACUGACCCAGUGGUGAACAUGUUUGGAAGUAUUGCUUGGAACAGCUGACUCUAGUGCUAUUUUUGAAGCUAAUCCUGUAAAACCAGAAAAACUCAGACAUCUGCCAAGUUUAGGGUAGCUGUCCACGCUCCUAUAUCCAAUAAGAAGGAACAGCUCCAGAUCCAUCAUAUUCCAAGAG
rnacentral:lncRNA from 1 species